AACAUCGCGCACCUGCGGGAACCUGCGGAAGGAUCAUCAUUGAAUAACUUUUUUCCAAGCUUUCAGGGGGGAGGGGGGAAGAGGAAACCCUUUCCUUUUUUUUCCUGGCUUGGCAAACAACUUUAAUACCCAAAAAGAGUUUCAUCUUCAUCUUUGGCUUCAGCUUUUCAGCUUAUUUUAUUAGGUAGGCUGAUGGCUGGAAAUGAAGAGGAGAGGAAAAGGGAAAGGAAAGGGGUUUUU
rnacentral:misc_RNA from 1 species